rnacentral:rRNA from 1 species
UACAGAGGUCCCAAGCGUUGUUCGGAUUCACUGGGCGUAAAGGGUGCGUAGGUGGUCGGGUAAGUCUGAUGUGAAAUCUCUGGGCUCAACCCAGAAAUGGCAUUGGAUACUAUCCGGCUAGAGGAGUGGAGGGGGGACUGGAAUACUUGGUGUAGCAGUGAAAUGCGUAGAUAUUCGGAAGAACACCAGUGGCGAAGGCGACUUACUGGACACAUAUUGACGCUGAGGUGCGAAAGCGUGGGGAGCAAACAGG